ensembl:lncRNA
CCUAGUUUACCUCUCGUCUGUCUUUAGUUCUGUUCUGGUAUUGCUUCAGUUUGUCGGUUAUGAUGGUGUCCUCAGGCCGCUCUGAUGGCCAUUUCUGUUUGGGAUGGUUUGGUUUAUCAAACGAAGGUCCACAUCAGCUGAUGAGGGAAUUUACAGCUGUUAUUUAUUUAGCUUUUAUGAAGAUUUCCUCAUUUUCCAAGAACAAAAUAAAAACAAAGUGCUGGCGUUUCAGUCAGAGCUUCCUAAUUUAAUGAGAAACUGAUCUGAUUUUGGUUUAUUGAGCAUAUAAGACAUCACCUUGGCUUGUAGGAAGUUAAAACUUAAUUUGAUUUAUUUUUUUCCUGAUAUUUUGUAUAAAAAUUUGCAAACAGAAGAGGUUUGCAUUUCACAAAAGCACAUGACAGCAAUGCCAAAGACACCGCACCGAAAAUGUUUUGCACACACGGUCGAUGUUUGUUUAACAAUUUUUGGUGAGCUCUACACAAAUAACAAUGUUAAAUCAUCAAUAAAUACAAUUACUGACCGAAAUAAAGCCAAACGGCAGUUUUCUUUACACCUGAGCAGGAACGCCGUGCUUACACCAAUGCACAAACUCGUCACGCACUGUGAAACCAUGCUUGUGUUUCAUGCUGUGUGACGCUGUCACGGGUUAAAAAUGAAUAUUUUCUCAGCCUCUAGAUGCUAAAAUGUCCAAAUAAAACACGUUUGGAGUCUCGUUUCAAUCAUUUGCUGUUAAAUGUUCUGUAAGUGCAGAGGUUGUGGCUUUGCUCUCUUUUGUGAUUUCAGACCUUUCCUGUCUGUGAUUAAUGGAAAUGUCACACGCUGCAAUAUUCAGCUGACAUUAGUUUGAUGUCAGAAGUCAUCAGCAGCUGUUUGAUUAUCCAUGAAAGCAAAAAUGUAAAAUAUUUGAUUGUUCCACAUUUUGAUAAAUGAAUAUUUGUGACAGUUGAGUAAAAAUCUGCGUUUUAAACUCCCCCCCCCCCCAGUUUUCUGUUUUUCAGACAAAAUUGAUAAAAGAAAAAUAAAACUUGGCAGAUGAAUGAAAA